ensembl:lncRNA
GUGGGAAUUACUCAGAUCCCCAUCCCUUUCCCAGCCCCGCCGCGGCAACAUUUAUUGCAAAAGCAGGAAAUUGCUUAUUACUAAACUAGCUGGCAAGGGAGCAGAGCCGAUGCUGUUCCACACUGGAACAGCACUUGCUUAGCUGCUGACUUCCCUGCCUCUCCUUGUUCCGCUCUUUCUUCUUCUUCUUUCCCUUCUUUCUCUCCUCUCUCCCUCGCUCUCUCUUCCUUUUUUCAUUUUGGCUUCUAUUCAAAUGUGGGUCAGGGGUGAGCGGCUCCCAACGUCACAAGCUUGCAAGAUGGCGCUGGGAGGAAGGCUGUGAGAUGAGGAACAGGCUGGUAUAAACCGAGAGGACAGGAGAGGGAGAGGAGGAGAGGGGAAAGGGAAGAAAAGCUACUGCUCCAGAUGCAAUAAGAAGGAAGCUAUUCUGUUCUGAAUCAGCAUGGGAUAGAGUGCCUAGAAGACGUUCAGACCAAGCUCAGCUAGCGCGUCCCUGCUGGUUCUCCAUUCUGCAUCCGUGCAGCCACGUUCUAUUGAUGGCCUGUUGUGAUUUCAAUGGAACAUCAUGGGAUGUACCUGGCACGUCGGGCAGCACUGGAUGGAGGUGCCUUUAGCCCAAUGUACCUGGCAUGUACUGUUAACUCACUGUUCAGGUGCUUGGUGUCUAGCCUUCUCAUCCAGCCACAAAUCCUCUACGUGCAAUGA